CGAAGGCUGUUCGGGACUGAAUGUAUCUGUAAUGUAACGCGUGACAAGACAUGUUUUGCCGCUGUCAACUUUGCCCAAAAGAACAACUUUUAAAUAGACUUUCUCACUCAUUCGCAAGCCACUAUUUUGCAAGCUGUCUUUUUAAACCAUAUGUUUUGAACCAUAUGUUUAGUAAACCAUAUGUUUAAUUAGUAAUAUUUGAUUUUCAUUUCAAAUUUCGUUGUCAAUUUUUGGGUGACGUUCCUUAAUACGAAGGAAGAUCGCGGUUG